AUUUAAAUAGUUUAAUAAAAAAUUUUGAUUUGUGGUGUCAAAGAUAAGAAUUUUCUUUUUAAAUU
rnacentral:tRNA from 1 species